GACCCGGUGGGACCCGGUGGGACACGGUGGGACACGGUGGGACACGGUGGGACCCGGUGGGACCCGGUGGGACCCGGUGGGACCCGGUGGGACACGCUGCACAGUUCGCCGUCAUCUGCCCAAAGCUGCUGAGAAAGAAAGCUGGACCAGCAAAAAUCCUGAAGGCAGACGGUUUUUGGCUUCCCUCACCUCCCAYGUACCCUGCCAGGAACACAGGUGUGCCCACAGUAGUGGCCCUGUCUGAAAACAACAGGCUUUGCUUUUCCCUUACCUGCGCGUCUGCAGUGCUGCCCAACAGCCACAGACAAAAUAGCUAUUCCCACAGGGUCUCUCGUUUUGACUAGGGAACAGCUUCUCACCUUUUUUGCCUUUAUCUUAGUCCAGAACCAAAACAAUACCCAUCUUAUCCACCUGUAAUAGCCUUUUAGCUUCAGGACAGGUUGGCAGGGUCUUCAGGAGAGGAACACAGCAGAAAGCCCCACCCUCCAUAUCAACCAGACAUCCAGUUUGUCACUGCACAGUGUUAACGGCAAAGUGCAAAAGUUUAUUAAAAAAGGAGAUGAAACCUUAUAUAAAAAACCAUAAACACGAACCAACCAGUCCAUACAGAAACUUUCAUUUUCCAGGUGCCUCUUAAAAUAUGUACUCCAAGAUAUGCUCCCACGGCGGAGUUGCUUGAUGGUCUUAAAGCAUGACAGCAGUUCCUGCUUUCUCUGAGACUCUCCUAACCCUUCCCUUUCUCCAGAUCAUGCAAGGACUUGUGCUGCCAGGAAACGAAGCACCUUCUUUCUCCCCUUUGUGCUGUAAGAACCAAUUCCCCAGUGUCAAGCCAGAAGCAUCACUCCUCUCCAGGUUAAGGCCAAAGCACUCAGUUCCAGGAGCCUGAGAAGCCAGAACAGUUUUGCCAUUUGCCAUAAUGAAAUGAAAUCCUCUUGCAAUACUGGCCACAACAUCUUCAGCUAAGUGUUGAAGUUCACAGUGAAGAAGCACAGAUGUUGACACCUGAUCACCCAUUCGCCCUUCCCCUACCACUCAGUCUUGUAAAAGUUUAACCACAGGUAAAGCCCAGCUGUGCUACCAGGAUAUGGACAGUGCUGCCACCAAAGUCCCUUGGUACAGCUGUUUUUGUCUAUGCCAAAUGCGUAUCUACUGCCCACCAAUACAGCAAGAGCCACAGCAGGGAGGGUAAAUGAGCCAGAGAGGGCCCUGUCAGACUCUGCUUCCAUCUGUAAAGACUGGGUGAAAAAGCACAAGUGGGUAGCAUCUGGUGUUUCCAGCAGUUUCAGGAUCCCACAAGCAAAGCAAAUUGCUCUGGCCCACAGGGAACUGUAAACACUCCUGGCACCUUCGAUCUCUAUGAACAGCCCUGGCAUCCAAACAGAAGGUGCAGCAGAACCCCCCAGGGAMCAUAGAAACCCCCCAGUAACCAGUAAACCCCUGCACCAACAGGCUGUGGCAGUGCAGGGGAAAAGGCAUCAUAGACGCAGACCCAUGAGCCUGGAUGGUUGCUUCCUCCUCUCCUUUAUGUUGUCAGGAGGAUGAUUUCUGAACAGCAACAGCAAUUUUCUGUUUGCAAGCCUUUGUGUCAUUCCACUCUGAGAAAACCACCUCAUUUAGGAAGGUGUUGUA